AUGGCGCGCACCGUUGGCUGCCUGUGGCUGCUCCUCUCGUGCUGGUGCGGCCUCGCCGUCGCGGCGCGGCCGGCGGCGCUGUCGGCCGCCGCUGGCACGGGCGGCGGCAACAACGCGAGCUUCGUGAGGGCGUGGUGCGCGGGGACGGAGUACCCGGCGCUGUGCGACGCGACUCUCUCGCCGUACGCGGCCGCGGUGGGGGACAGCCCGGCGAGGCUGGCGUGCGCCGCGCUGAACGUGACGCUCGCCGGCGUGCGGAACGCGACGGCGGCCAUGAGGGGCAUGGUGGCCGGACGCCUGCCGCCCGUGGCGGCGGAGGCGGCGGGGGACUGCGUGAGCAUGCUCGGGGACGCCGUAGGCAUGCUGAGGCAGUCGGUGGAGGCCAUGGCGCAGGUCGGGGCCGAGGCGGAGCAGGGCCACUCGCAGGAGAGGACGGUGAGGUUCCAGGUGGACAGCGUGCGGACGUGGGCCAGCGCGGCGCUCACCGACGGCGACAUGUGCAUGGAAGGGUUCAGGGGCGAGGCUGCCGGCGGCGGCGGCGUGAGGGAGGCCGUGCGCGGCCACGUCGCGGGCCUCCUGCACCUCACGGCCAACGCGCUUUGCAUCGUCGGCGCCAUGGCCAACGAAACGGCGCCGCCAUAG
rnacentral:rRNA from 1 species